rfam:Strongylocentrotus purpuratus Contig53210_fixed, whole genome shotgun sequence.
GGGGAUAUAGCUCAGCGGUAGAGCGCUCGCUUUGCAUGCGAGAGGCCUCGGGUUCGAACCCCGAUAUCUCCA